CAAUUAACCUUUUCUCGAACUGCCUUUCUAUAGUUAUUUACUUUCUCUCUCAACUCAACUCAACUUUUUCUUUUCUUUCUUUGUAUGGGAAAAUCGAUUCCCUCGACGACCAGGUCCGGAAUAUACCAAUUGGCUAAAACGACGUCGCAGAGUCUCGGAACUUCAAAACAAGCAAAACCCACAUCGCAGAUCCCUGGAGUCGGUGACCAAAGGUUGAAGAAGGAGAUGGAGAAGGAAAAGGAGAAGGUGAGUAGCUCGGAGAAGGAGGGAAACGACAGUCGUUUGCCGCUUUCUGAGGUCGUUUCCGAUUGUGUGAAGCGGUGGUUCAAGGACACACUCAAGGAGGCCAAAACUGGGGAUAUUAACAUGCAAGUCUUGGUGGGUCAGAUGUAUUUUAGUGGCUAUGGCGUUCCCAGAGAUGCCCAGCGGGGAAGAAUUUGGAUUACAAGGGCAUCAAGGACUAGGUCCUUUUGGAAAGUUAGUGAUAAGCAUCCAGGUUAUAAUGCAAGUGAUUCAGAUUCAGACGAACUCAAGGGUGACUCUUAGAUAGACUAGAAUCUACACACUUCAAGUCCUAUCAAUUGCAUGUUUAACGAAAGCACACAAGAGACUAAGGUCGAGUUGUGAGGCCUUUAUGGCUUGCUUGCUCUCAUGAGCUUUGGCGUUCGACUCCUCAUAGGAGAUUUGCCUUGGCUCUGUUGGUUCACAUGGUCGAGCAUGUUUGUGUUUUGUUACCAAGUUUUUGAAAUUUUUGGCCCCCUUUUGAUAUCUUGUUUGGUGAUGUUAGACUAAUACAAAAUUUUACAUCAAAAUUUAUUCUUAAUAAUGUGAUAUCUUUUCUAACCACUUGAGUAUAGUCAUGUUAGAAAAUGUGUUAUAUUAAUAUGUGUAAAUUUUGUAAGUAAAUUUUGUGCCCUAAUCUUUACUAUUCAUUUAUAAUGACAAUCGACCAAGUAACAUUUCAUUGGCUUUA